GACAGAGGGGGCAAGCGUUGCUCGGAAUUACUGGGCGGAAAGGGCGCGUAGGCGGAAUGGCAAGUCGGUCGUGAAAUCCUUCGGCUCAACCGAAGAACGUCGAUCGAAACUGCCGUUCUUGAGGAUUGCAGAGGAGACUGGAAUUCCCGGUGUAGCGGUGAAAUGUGUAGAGAUCGGGAGGAACACCGGUGGCGAAGGCGGGUCUCUGGGCAAUUCCUGACGCUGAGGCGCGAAAGCGUGGGGAGCAAACGGG
rnacentral:rRNA from 1 species